rnacentral:rRNA from 1 species
CCUACGGGGGGCAGCAGUGAGGAAUAUUGGUCAAUGGACGAGAGUCUGAACCAGCCAAGUAGCGUGAAGGACGACUGCCCUAUGGGUUGUAAACUUCUUUUAUAUGGGAAUAAAAUGUUCCACGUGUGGGAUUUUGUAUGUCCCAUAUGAAUAAGGAACGGCUAACUCCGUGCCAGCAGCCGCGGUUAUACGGAGGAUCCGAGCGUUAUCCGGUAUUAUUGGGUUGAAAGGGGGCGUAGGUGGAUUGUUAAGUCAGUUGUGAAAGUUUGCGGCUCAACCGUAAAAUUGCAGUUGAAACUGGCAGUCUUGAGUACAGUAGAGGUGGGCGGAAUUCGUGGUGUAGCGGUGAAAUGCUUAGAUAUCACGAAGAACUCCGAUUGCGAAGGCAGUUCACUGGACUGCAACUGACACUGAGGCUCGAAAGUGUGGGUAUCAAACAGGAUUAGAUACCCUGGUAGUC